rnacentral:tRNA from 2 species
CUCUCCUUGGUGUAGUUGGUUUAUCACGUUCGACUGUAAUUGUCAAAUUGUUAUCGAAAGGUCCCUAGUUCGAUUCUGGGAGGGGAGA